GGCAGGCACAGAGCGUCGGAUCGGAACUGUCCGAUCUACUUUAAACAAAAGAACGCCAAUCAAGCAAAAUUUGCCGUAACCAAACUCGACGUGACUGUUUCAGUUAUGAGCAGUUUUUCAACUACACUCACCCCGCAUGUGAUGUGCGAUGCCCCCAGUGACCCCACGGAAACCGAAUACGUUUUAUAAACAUCUCAAUCCAUUCCCUACCCAUAUGAAUCUAAAAUGAGGAUGAUGGACUGGGUAAAAGCGGAAAUUCGAAACUCACUAGGGGACAUUUCUAAUUUUCUAUGCCAAAGAAUUGCCAAAGAAUUCCCUGGUUCUGAAAGAAUAAUUGCAAUAAUCAAAGCUUCAGAAGAGGUCUUCAGGCGGUAACGCCAUCAGCUACAUGGUGACCACACUUAAUUUACUGCGGUGGAAUUGUCACAGUAUUUACACGGAAGCAUCUAAAGAUAGCAACCUCGUUCUACCAAACACCGGGUCCGCCACCAGGAUUCAUACUGAGCUAAAUAGAUGGAGUGUUCUCGAUCUGACCUUUGUGUUAGCCGCUUUCUCCACGGAGACCUCAUGGUCUAUAAUGAGAGAUUCUUUAUAUAGUGACCACUUUCCUAUUCAUUUACGACUGGAGGAAAUCAAAUUCCAGUGCAGGGAAAAACUUUCUCUCGGCAACGUGGAGUGAAUGUCCUUUGGGAAUUUCAUUAAGUCACACUCCUCACUACUCUUAUCAAAGAAGGAAAUGUCGAUAUCGUAUAUAAUUCGUUUCUUAAUUCUAUAUAUGACUUCCUUCUGGCAGCACGGGCGAAAGGUUCCAAGAGGUCUUCCACACCCGAAGGUUGACCUCCUGCAGCGCUGUGGUGGAACUAUGAGUGCACCAAACUGGUUGUCUCUCGCGGAGCAGCAGCUAAGUGCUUCCGGAAUAACCCCAACAACGAAAACCUAGAAGCAUGUAACAAACUUGAAAAGGAGGUUAAGAACUACCUCAGAAAUAUCAAACGGAAAAGCUUCCAAGAAUUCUCUUCUUCCUUUGGCCCACAGACGAAGUUGGACUAAAUCCAGAGUUUCAGGAAAGGAAAAUCUGUUAGCGACAAUGCCACUGUACUUACAACGGACAUCAGAUUAAAUCUUCUCAAGAAGGAGCACUUUGCUGGUGUAUUUUUCGAUAUUUAAGAGGCAUUUGACAAUGUCAUUUCGAAAAUUCUCAUCCAACAAAUAACUGCACUUGGCAUUCCAGACCGGAUCGUAAUUUUUGUGAAGCAUGUCAUCUGGCAAAGAGUGGUUCAUGGUAGGGCUCAGGGGGCUGACCUUAGCGUCAGGACAACGAACGUGGGUCUGCCCCAGGGUUCAGCCCGGAGUGCUCAUCUUUUCAACUUACUUAAAAUGCAUCUUUUAGAACACUGGCCAUAGCACAAGAAUCCUCACCUACACUGGUAAUGUGGUAAUUUAUUCCUCAACAGGACCUACAAGUGACCCUCAUGAAGUAUCAUCCUCAUUGGAAUUGAUGAGCACCUGGCUCCUUCGCAGGGGGCUAAUGGUAAGCUCAAAGAAAAUUCAAUUCUGCAUCUUUUCUAGGAGACCCCUCGGAGACAAGUCAAUACACAUCCAACUGAACGGUUCCUCAAUUUCGAACUCACCCUCGAAUCUCUGAAGUCCUAAACCUAGUCAAAGACAAGGGCUACGUGAAGAUAUUAAUUUUGUCAGGCUCCUUAAGUGUCCUCACCGCCCUGAAGGCUCCGCAAACAAAAAAUAUGUUUAACCCCAUUUUAAUUACUAGAAAGCAGAAAUUAUUUGACAUGUAUAAUCUCGGGGGACAGUGCUAUCUAGUGUGGGUUCCCGCUCACACGGGCAUCCCGGGAUAUCAACUAGUCGACCUUGCUGCCCGCUGGGUGGGUGACCAGAUCAAUGAGUUUAAUAACUGAAUCUACUGGGCAGAUUUGAGGCAGCACACAAGAAGUUCCACUGCAUCCGCCAGCCAAUCGUAUAUCCUUGAGUCAGGUCGUUGCAAGGGUGUUACUGACUGCUACCUAGUUAAUGGAUUUCAAAACUGACCAUGGUUCAGUGGUCUCGAGCUUGGCAGGAACAAGAUUACUCUAUUUGAUCGCAUUAAAUCUAACCAUGCUAGAGCAAACGAGCACCUGGCCAAAAUGAUCUUGGUGUCUUGACAGGAUUAGAGCACUUUCGGUGUGCGCAUUGUGUGUGCGCAUUGUGUGUGCGCACUAUAUAUGCGCAAUAUGUCUGCGCAGUGCGUCUGAAAUCAGCUGUAGCGACCGAUAUUGACGAAGGAAUACGAGUUUCGAGGAUGCGGAUUAUCGUAAAUCGAACGGGUACCAGAUGGACAUGGAGACGAAGCUGAGCAAUUUUCUGUCAAUGACACCAAUGAUAAGGAAUAAUGCACUCAUAAUUGGAAGAAACGUAGAAUGUCGAUGGGCUUAUAAUAUAUGUCAGCGAUGUUCCUGUUCGUCUAUCCCAAGAUUUCUGUGUUCUCAGAUCUUGUAAAUCUUGGAUCGUGCUUGCAACGACCUUGCGAACGAUCCAUGUUACUCGGCUAGGCGUACCAUCCCUUGUCGCAUUUACAAGGUAAAUAAACUGUGUAGCUGUAGCUGUGUAGCUUUUGCGCAGCGAAAAAAAUUGUGGGACAAAUACGAGGCGAAAUAUCGCAAACACAGACCCUCGAUGGUCGUCUCGACGGACAUCAGUUACGGGACGCACGUUUGCAUAAAAAACAGUCCAAUGUACCAACCGGGAGCGAUCGGCUUCACCAUCGCCAACGGCGUUCCCAAGGUCAGUCAGCUGCUCUUGGCCGCCGGGAACCUCGAUUCAACUUCAACUCUUUGAACAUUAUUGCUCUCGUUGGAACGUUGCUCAAUUUUUUGAAGGAUUAAUUGAUUUUGUUACUGGAGAACACACGCUGAAACAGAAACGCCAGUUUCUUCGGCGCAGAACACUCACGACCAGCCUCCAGCUGAUUUUUAGAUACACUACGCAUGUACACCGCGCAUAUCCAUUGCGCAGGCCGGAAGUGUUCGGAAACUAGGGGAAAUCAUGGGGAAAUCAAUCACUCAAUAAUUAUGGAAUAUCAAUUAAAAUAUUAACUCUCUAACAGUUUUUUUCUACUCUCAAAUCCUCUCAAACGAUUCUCAAAAGAUUCAAAAAAAUUAAACGUCUAAGUCCAUUUUUUGAGAAGAUGGAAAAUAUGGGGGCCAACUUCACACCCAAAAUUAAAAUCAAUUUUCCGGAAAAACUAUUAACUCUCAAACGAUUUUUCUUUACUCUCAAACCCUCUCAAACGAUUCUCAAACGAAUUGCAUUAAUUAGAUUUAAAAAUAAUAACUUCGGGGGGCCAACUUCACGGAGGUAAAGUUCCACCGGUUUCAUCAGAGAACGAAGAUCACUCCAUAUUUGUUGGUUAAAGAGUGAAAGUUACUGAUACGUGGGAACUUGUACAAUGAAUAAUUUAGUGAUCGUGAUUAUGCAAAAUCGGGAAAAUCGAAUGCUCAGAAUACGACGAACACUACGCGAUGCCUCAGACCCAUUCAAUACAAUAACUUAUAUAUAUUUAUAUUAUUUAUUAUAUAUUUUAUAUAUUGUACUUCUGUCACGUUCAUUUUCUUCAACAAUUCUUUUUGAUAUUCACAACAACUU
rnacentral:lncRNA from 1 species